GACGAACGCUGGCGGCGUGCUUAACACAUGCAAGUCGAGCGGUAAGGCCUUUCGGGGUACACGAGCGGCGAACGGGUGAGUAACACGUGGGUGAUCUGCCCUGCACUUCGGGAUAAGCCUGGGAAACUGGGUCUAAUACCGGAUAUGACCUCCUAUCGCAUGGUGGGUGGUGGAAAGAUUUAUCGGUGCAGGAUGGGCCCGCGGCCUAUCAGCUUGUUGGUGGGGUAAUGGCCUACCAAGGCGACGACGGGUAGCCGACCUGAGAGGGUGACCGGCCACACUGGGACUGAGACACGGCCCAGACUCCUACGGGAGGCAGCAGUGGGGAAUAUUGCACAAUGGGCGAAAGCCUGAUGCAGCGACGCCGCGUGAGGGAUGACGACCUUCGGGUUGUAAACCUCUUUCAGCAGGGACGAAGCGCAAGUGACGGUACCUGCAGAAGAAGCACCGGCUAACUACGUG
rnacentral:rRNA from 1 species